UACGUAGGUCCCGAGCGUUGUCCGGAUUUAUUGGGCGUAAAGCGAGCGCAGGUGGUUUAUUAAGUCUGGUGUAAAAGGCAGUGGCUCAACCAUUGUAUGCAUUGGAAACUGGUAGACUUGAGUGCAGGAGAGGAGAGUGGAAUUCCAUGUGUAGCGGUGAAAUGCGUAGAUAUAUGGAGGAACACCGGUGGCGAAGGCGGCCAACUGGGCUUUAACUGACGCUGAGGCUCGAAAGUGUGGGGAGCAAACAGG
rnacentral:rRNA from 1 species